rnacentral:lncRNA from 1 species
UAAGUCUCCAAAGUUCCUACGUUUACAAAUAUAUAAGUAAAAGCGGCACAAAAAUGUAGGGGAUCGUGUUUUCGCUGCUCAUCUGUGCUCAGUUGCUAAUUUUUCUAAUACCAGAUACAUAAUGCGAUGAAAUGGGAAUGCUUAUCUUCUAUACUUCUAUUUAUUUUCAUAAAGGGGAGAGGGGAGGUGGUCUUGAUUCAUUUACUAUUAGCGUUUUGCAAUAAAGUAGAUCAGCAUAAAACAUAACUGAAGAAGUAGGAUUCAUUUUCCCCAGGACAACGCACACUUCCUCCUGUUUCUGUAGUAAAGUACAUCACUUUGCUAUUAAAAAUGUCCAUUUUUCACAACUGACUUUUCCUUAACUCUAGUCAACACUGCUCUUCAAAAGAACCUAGCCAAUUAUUGUACCUUGAAGACAGAUGUGCAAAAUUUUUACUUCCUUAAGAAACUUUUCCAUUUUUUAAAUGCUUUCCAAAUUAAGCAGGACUCACAUUAACUGUGAUCUUAAGUAGCAGUUUAGUGAGGUUUAAAAACAAACUUUUCAUUAACGCAUUCAUCCAAUUAAAAUGACAUAGUAACUGGGACUACUGACACAGAUUUCAGGAUUACAGCUUUAUACUAAAAGUCGGUCCAAACAUGGUAACUCAGUGUUCAUUUGAGACGCUUUGACUUUUGGCCUUUAAAAACUGUUCCCCACUCGAGUCCCCAGAUAGAACUACAUUUAGCAACUGGUCUCCUCCUGACUUCCUGGUACUAAAAACCACAACCACAAGGGCUGUUUCGUCGGUUUGUUGUAAAACAACAUUUGCUCCAGUCAUCUCACUGGAAAAUAGACUUUCUCUACUGGGCAGCCGCUGAGGAAUAUUACAGCAAAUGAGUCUUCUUUGGUGGUCCAGCCACACCAGCCCUUAUACUUCACAGCGUGAGUGAUAUAAACAUGAAGGCCAGGUGCGGCGGCUUACACCCGUAAUCCCAGCACUUUGGGAAGAGUGAAGUGGAGGAAGAGGUACAUUCAACUACAGAGGAGGAAACUGAGGCCCAGAGGGGAAAAGUGACUUGAUUGACAAAAAUUGGAUUCUGGUCUUUGUUCUGCCAAAGCCACUAAAUCUGUGUUGCUGAGUCUGCUGUUUGCAUGCAGGAAUGUGAAGGACUGCUCAAGUUGGAGAUACAAAUUGAAGCCAGCCCCAGUUCAAAACUGUUACAAAUGGAGUCUGUAGGCAUGAGGGGCUGACUAUAUAACUCAGAGUUCUCCAGUACUUUACUUUAAUAAAGAACACAAUCUUUAUUAAAGGAUAAGUAAUAAAAAUGUGUUGAUGUG